AAGUCGUAACAAGGUUUCCGUAGGUGAACCUGCGGAAGGAUCAUUAAUGAAAUGAUGUUUUUUGGGGUUUUUAAUCUCCAAAAAUAAUUCACCUUUUGUGCACUGUUAUUUAGAUAUACUUUGGUUAGAGCUUUGAUUUCAUUUUUUUGAAAUCAACUUCUGGCUGACUCUAUCCUUACUGAGGACAGUUGGCUAUGAAGCGGCCUACCAAGGUUUUUUAUCAAACUCUUGUAUUUUGUCUGACCUGAAAACAAAUAAUUAAAUCAUAACUUUCAACAACGGAUCUCUUGGCUCUC
rnacentral:misc_RNA from 1 species